AGAAGAAAAUUGCUUGCCAUUCCUCCUGAUGUAGACGGUUAUACAGGUCGACUGAUUCGCAGUGUUUCUGGUGCUGGGAAGACGACCAUGUACAUUGUUCCACUGCAGCAGGACCUUGAUCUUACUCCACUGCCAUCUGAUGCCACUGAAUUUCAAAAAAUGCCUAAGGCUGCAUGCCAAGUGUGCAAAGAAAACAUGCCUCUGCAUAUCCUAGCAUUGCACAUCGAGGGUUGUAUGGAGUCUGCAGCAGAUGAUGAUGAUGAUGAGGACUGGCAGAAUGAGGUCCAGGUUCUUUCUGUCACAAACUCACCACUUGCGCACCCUAACAAAGAGUCCAGAGAUUGUGGCCAGGAUAGAAAGGAAUGCCCUAUAUGUUGUGGCUGCUUUCCAUCAGAUGAAAUUGUUCUGCAUGCAAGCCUGUGUGGGAAAGGU